CCUACGGGAGGCAGCAGUGAGGAAUAUUGGUCAAUGGACGAGAGUCUGAACCAGCCAAGUAGCGUGAAGGAUGACUGCCCUAUGGGUUGUAAACUUCUUUUAUAUGGGAAUAAAACGUUCAACGUGUGGGAUUUUGUAUGUACCAUAUGAAUAAGGAUUGGCAAACUCCGUGCCAGCAGCCGCGGUAAUACGGAGGAUCCGAGCGUUAUCCGGAUUUAUUGGGUUUAAGGGGAGCGUAGGUGGAUGGUUAAGUCAGUUGUGAAAGUUUGCGGCUCAACCGUUAAAUUGCAGUUGAAACUGGCAGUCUUGAGUACAGUAGAGGUGGGCGGAAUGCGUGGUGUAGCGGUGAAAUGCUUAGAUAUCACGAAGAACUCCGAUUGCGAAGGCAGUUCACUGGACUGCAACUGACACUGAGGCUCGAAAGUGUGGGUAUCAAACAGGAUUAGAUACCCCAGUAGUC
rnacentral:rRNA from 1 species